UAUUCAGAUGACCACUGUCGCGUAGUGCUUGACAUUGUUGAUGGCAAACAAGGCAGUGAUAACAUCAAUGCUUGCUUCAUCGAGGGUUUCUUCAAGAAGCGAGCUUAUAUUGCAUCGCAAGGCCCAACGAAGGCUAUGAUGGAUGACUUCUGGCAAAUGAUUUGGCAAUAUGACGUAUCUACCGUAGUCAUGGUAACGAAUCUCGUUGAAAUGGCAAAAAUGAAAUGUUUGCGGUACUGGCCUCUUGAAGUUGGUUUCAAGAUGGAUUUCCAAGCACUCACAACAACUUUGAUCUAUAAUGAGGAGUUCACAGACUAUACAGUUCGGAAGCUUAAAUUGUCA